rnacentral:rRNA from 1 species
AUGCAUGUGGGACAAAUGAACCCCUUGAUGUUUGGAGAUCUGUGCCCUGCAACUUGUUACAGAACUACUACAGGCACAGCAUACCUCCAAUUCAUGGAACUUCAAACCACCACACAAAAUGUUCAGCUGAGUGGAACUUAUGAUAAAUGGAUUUAUCCUUGGGCAUCUGACUUUUCCUCCAUCAAGAUGUACAAACUACUCAAACAGGGAGUCCCUGCUCCACCAAUAUUUGCUAAAAUAUGGAAAAAUGCAUCCAUGCUCAAAUACAAGAUAUUCUUCUGGCUCCUUAUGCAUGACAGAGUCAACUCAAGGAAUCUACUCCACAGGAAAUCUUUUCACUUGCCAUCCUAUAAUUGUGCACUCUGCCAUGCACAC